ensembl:rRNA 5S_rRNA 5S ribosomal RNA
GCUUACGGCCAUACCACCCUGAAUACGCCCGAUCUCGUCCGAUCUCGGAAGCUAAGCAGGGUCGGGCCCGGUUAGUACUUGGAUGGGAGACCGCCUGGGAAUACCGGGUGCUGUAAGCU